rnacentral:rRNA from 1 species
AUUGAACGCUGGCGGCAGGCUUAACACAUGCAAGUCGAACGAGUGGCGGACGGGUGAGUAAUGCUUGGGAAUCUAGCUUCUGGAGGGGGAUAACUAUGGGAAACUGUAGCUAAUACCGCGUACCAUAGGAUGAGCCAAAGUGGGAUUAGGUAGUUGGUGAGGUAAAGGCGCACCAAGCCGACGAUCUCUAGCUGGUCUGAGAGGAUGACCAGCCACACUGGGACGGGGACACGGCCCAGAAUCCUACGUGAGGCAGCAGGGGGGAAUAUUGCGCAAUGGGGGCAACCUGACGCAGCCAUGCCGCGUGAAUGAAGAAGGCCUUCGGGUGGUAAAGUUCUUUCGGUAGCGAGGCGUUAACUACAGAAGAAGCACCGGCUAACUCCGUGCCAGCAGCCGCGGUAAUAC